ACACAUGCAAGUCGAACGGACUUUUCAUGAAGCCUAGCGAUUGAAAAGUUAGUGGCGGACGGGUGAGUAACGCGUGGGUAACCUGCCUUGUACUGGGGGACAACAGUUGGAAACGACUGCUAAUACCGCAUAAGCGCACAGCUUCGCAUGAAGCAGUGUGAAAAACUCCGGUGGUACAAGAUGGACCCGCGUCUGAUUAGCUGGUUGGUGAGGUAACGGCCCACCAAGGCGACGAUCAGUAGCCGGCCUGAGAGGGUGAACGGCCACAUUGGGACUGAGACACGGCCCAAACUCCUACGGGAGGCAGCAGUGGGGAAUAUUGCACAAUGGGGGAAACCCUGAUGCAGCAACGCCGCGUGAGUGAAGAAGUAUUUCGGUAUGUAAAGCUCUAUCAGCAGGAAAGAAAAUGACGGUACCUGACUAAGAAGCCCCGGCUAACUACGUGCCAGCAGCCGCGGUAAUACGUAGGGGGCAAGCGUUAUCCGGAUUUACUGGGUGUAAAGGGAGCGUAGACGGUUUUGCAAGUCUGAAGUGAAAGCCCGGGGCUUAACCCCGGGACUGCUUUGGAAACUGUAGGACUAGAGUGCAGGAGAGGUAAGUGGAAUUCCUAGUGUAGCGGUGAAAUGCGUAGAUAUUAGGAGGAACACCAGUGGCGAAGGCGGCUUACUGGACUGUAACUGACGUUGAGGCUCGAAAGCGUGGGGAGCAAACAGGAUUAGAUACCCUGGUAGUCCACGCCGUAAACGAUGAUUACUAGGUGUUGGUGGGUACGACCCAUCGGUGCCGCAGCAAACGCAAUAAGUAAUCCACCUGGGGAGUACGUUCGCAAGAAUGAAACUCAAAGGAAUUGACGGGGGCCCGCACAAGC
rnacentral:rRNA from 1 species